rnacentral:rRNA from 1 species
CCUACGGGAGGCAGCAGUCGGGAAUAUUGCGCAAUGGAGGAAACUCUGACGCAGUGACGCCGCGUAUAGGAAGAAGUUUUUCGGAAUGUAAACUAUUGUCGUUAGGGAAGAGAAAGGACAGUACCUAAGGAGGAAGCUCCGGCUAACUACGUGCCAGCAGCCGCGGUAAUACGUAGGGAGCGAGCGUUAUCCGGAAUUAUUGGGUGUAAAGGGUGCGUAGACGGGAAAACAAGUUAGUUGUGAAAUCCCUCGGCUUAACUGAGGAACUGCAACUAAAACUAUUUUUCUUGAGUGCAGGAGAGGUAAGUGGAAUUCCUAGUGUAGCGGUGAAAUGCAUAGAUAUCACACAGAACACCGAUUGCGAAGGCAUCUCACGAAUCCGCGAUUGACGCUGAUGCACGAAAGCGUGGGUAUCAAACAGGAUUAGAUACCCGAGUAGUC